CGGCGUGCCUAACACAUGCAAGUCAACUUGACUGAAGGAGCAAUCUGACAGUAGAGUGGCGCAAGGGUGCGUAACGCGUAAGUAACUUGCCCCAAGGUAAGGAAUAACGUCGAGAAAUCGGCGCUAAUACCUCAUAAUGCAGCGGAUCCGCAUGGAUAUGUUGUUAAAGGUUUACCGCCUUGGGAUAGGCUUGCGUCUGAUUAGCUAGUUGGUGUGGUAACGGCACACCAAGGCUACGAUCAGUAACUGGUCUGAGAGGAUGAUCAGUCACACUGGAACUGAGACACGGUCCAGACUCCUACGGGAGGCAGCAGUGAGGAAUAUUGGGCAAUGCUCGAAAGAGUGACCCAGCAACGCCGCGUGGAGGAUGAAGGUAUUCUAUAUCGUAAACUCCUGUGAGAGCAGACGAAAGACAGAUUAUUAAUCUGGAUGACUGUAUGCUCAGAGGAAGCCCCGGCUAACUACGUG
rnacentral:rRNA from 1 species